rnacentral:rRNA from 1 species
AUUGAACGCUGGCGGCAUGCCUUACGCAUGCAAGUCGAACGGCAGCACGGGAGCAAUCCUGGUGGCGAGUGGCGAACGGGUGAGUAAUAUAUCGGAACGUGCCCAGUCGUGGGGGAUAACGCAGCGAAAGCUGUGCUAAUACCGCAUACGAUCUCUGGAUGAAAGCGGGGGACUCGCGAGGGCCUCGCGCGAUUGGAGCGGCCGAUAUCAGAUUAGCUAGUUGGUGGGGUAAAGGCUCACCAAGGCGACGAUCUGUAGCUGGUCUGAGAGAACGACCAGCCACACUGGAACUGAGACACGGUCCAGACUCCUACGGGAGGCAGCAGUGGGGAAUUUUGGACAAUGGGCGCAAGCCUGAUCCAGCAAUGCCGCGUGCAGGAUGAAGGCCUUCGGGUUGUAAACUGCUUUUGUACGGAACGAAACGGUUUGCCCUAAUACGGUGGACUAAUGACGGUACCGUAAGAAUAAGCACCGGCUAACUACGUGCCAGCAGCCGCCGUAAUAC